CUGGCGGCGUGCCUAAUACAUGCAAGUCGAACGAGUUCUCGUUGAUGAUCGGUGCUUGCACCGAGAUUCAACAUGGAACGAGUGGCGGACGGGUGAGUAACACGUGGGUAACCUGCCCUUAAGUGGGGGAUAACAUUUGGAAACAGAUGCUAAUACCGCAUAGAUCCAAGAACCGCAUGGUUCUUGGCUGAAAGAUGGCGUAAGCUAUCGCUUUUGGAUGGACCCGCGGCGUAUUAGCUAGUUGGUGAGGUAAUGGCUCACCAAGGCGAUGAUACGUAGCCGAACUGAGAGGUUGAUCGGCCACAUUGGGACUGAGACACGGCCCAAACUCCUACGGGAGGCAGCAGUAGGGAAUCUUCCACAAUGGACGCAAGUCUGAUGGAGCAACGCCGCGUGAGUGAAGAAGGCUUUCGGGUCGUAAAACUCUGUUGUUGGAGAAGAAUGGUCGGCAGAGUAACUGUUGUCGGCGUGACGGUAUCCAACCAGAAAGCCACGGCUAACUACGUGCCAGCAGCCGCGGUAAUACGUAGGUGGCAAGCGUUAUCCGGAUUUAUUGGGCGUAAAGCGAGCGCAGGCGGUUUUUUAAGUCUGAUGUGAAAGCCCUCGGCUUAACCGAGGAAGCGCAUCGGAAACUGGGAAACUUGAGUGCAGAAGAGGACAGUGGAACUCCAUGUGUAGCGGUGAAAUGCGUAGAUAUAUGGAAGAACACCAGUGGCGAAGGCGGCUGUCUGGUCUGUAACUGACGCUGAGGCUCGAAAGCAUGGGUAGCGAACAGGAUUAGAUACCCUGGUAGUCCAUGCCGUAAACGAUGAAUGCUAGGUGUUGGAGGGUUUCCGCCCUUCAGUGCCGCAGCUAACGCAUUAAGCAUUCCGCCUGGGGAGUACGACCGCAAGGUUGAAACUCAAAGGAAUUGACGGGGGCCCGCACAAGCGGUGGAGCAUGUGGUUUAAUUCGAAGCAACGCGAAGAACCUUACCAGGUCUUGACAUCUUUUGAUCACCUGAGAGAUCAGGUUUCCCCUUCGGGGGCAAAAUGACAGGUGGUGCAUGGUUGUCGUCAGCUCGUGUCGUGAGAUGUUGGGUUAAGUCCCGCAACGAGCGCAACCCUUAUGACUAGUUGCCAGCAUUUAGUUGGGCACUCUAGUAAGACUGCCGGUGACAAACCGGAGGAAGGUGGGGAUGACGUCAAAUCAUCAUGCCCCUUAUGACCUGGGCUACACACGUGCUACAAUGGAUGGUACAACGAGUUGCGAGACCGCGAGGUCAAGCUAAUCUCUUAAAGCCAUUCUCAGUUCGGACUGUAGGCUGCAACUCGCCUACACGAAGUCGGAAUCGCUAGUAAUCGCGGAUCAGCACGCCGCGGUGAAUACGUUCCCGGGCCUUGUACACACCGCCCGUCACACCAUGAGAGUUUGUAACACCCGAAGCCGGUGGCGUAACCCUUUUAGGGAGCGAGCCGUCUAAGGUGGACAAAUGUUAG
rnacentral:rRNA from 1 species